CCUACGGGAGGCAGCAGUAGGGAAUAUUCCACAAUGGGCGAAAGCCUGAUGGAGCAAAGCCGCGUGGGUGAAGAAGGUCUUCGGAUCGUAAAACCCUGUUGUUAGAGAAGAAAGUGCGUGAGAGUAACUGUUCACGUUUCGACGGGAUCUAACCAGAAAGCCACGGCUAACUACGUGCCCGCAGCCGCGGUAAUACGUAGGUGGCAAGCGUUAUCCGGGUUUAUUGGGCGUAAAGGGAACGCAGGCGGUCUGUUAAGUCUGAUGGGAAAGCCUUCGGCUUAACCGGAGUAGUGCAUUGGAAACUGGCAGACUUGAGUGGAGAAGAGGAGAGUGGAACGCCAUGUGUAGCGGUGAAAUGCGUAGAUAUAUGGAAGAACACCAGUGGCGAAAGCGGCACUCUGGUCUGUCACUGACGCUGAGGUUCGAAAGCGUGGGUAGCAAACAGGAUUAGAUACCCUUGUAGUC
rnacentral:rRNA from 1 species